CCAAUAGCGUAUAUUAAAGUUGUUGCAGUUAAAAAGCUCGUAGUUGAAUUUCGGGAUCAAUAUGUCGGUCGUGCCUUCGGUACGUACUGGUAUCAUUGGUCUCUCCUUUCUGACGAACCAUGAUGUCAUUAAUUUGGUGUUAUGGGGAGUUAGGACUGUUACUUUGAAAAAAUUAGAGUGUUUAAAGCAGUCUUUAGCUUGAAUACAUUAGCAUGGAAUAAUGAAAUAGGACGUUCGAACCUAUUUUGUUGGUUUCUAGGAUCAACGUAAUGAUUAAUAGGGAUAGUUGGGGGCAUUAGUAGUCAAUUGUCAGAGGUGAAAUUCUUGGAUUUAUUGAAGACUAACUACUGCGAAAGCAUUUGCCAAGGAUGUUUUCAUUAAUCAAGAACGAAAGUUAGGGGAUCGAAGACGAUCAGAUACCGUCGUAGUCUUAACCAUAAACUAUGCCGACUAGGGAUCGGAUGAUGUUAAUUUUUUAAUGACUCAUUCGGCGCCUUACGGGGAACCAAAGUGUUUGGUUC
rnacentral:rRNA from 1 species